rnacentral:rRNA from 1 species
AUUAAGCAUAUCAAUAAGCGGAGGAAAAGAAACUAACAAGGAUUCCCCUAGUAACGGCGAGUGAAGCGGGAAGAGCUCAAAUUUAAAAUCUGGCAGUGUAUUCUGUCCGAGUUGUAGUCUAGAGAAGCAUCAUCCGUGCUGGACCAUGUACAAGUCUCUUGGAACAGAGCGUCAUAGAGGGUGAGAAUCCCGUCCUUGACAUGGACUCCCAGUACUUUGUGUUGUGCUCUCAACGAGUCGAGUUGUUUGGGAAUGCAGCUCAAAAUGGGUGGUAAAUUCCAUCUAAAGCUAAAUAUUGGCGAGAGACCGAUAGCGAACAAGUACCGUGAGGGAAAGAUGAAAAGCACUUUGGAGAGAGAGUUAAACAGUACGUGAAAUUGUUGAAAUGGAAACGCUUGAAGUCAGUCGCGUUCUCUGGGAUUCAGCCUUGCUUUUGCUUGGUGCAUUUCCUAGUCUACGGGCCAGCAUGAAUUUUGACCAAUGGAAAAAGGCUUGGGGAAUGUGGCACCUUCGGGUGUGUUAUAGCCCCUUGUCACAUACGUUGGUUGGGAUUGAGGUCUUAGUGCACGCUUCGGUUGUGCUUUGAUGCUGGCGUAAUGGCUUUAAACGACCCGUCUUGAAACACGGACCAAGGAGUCUAACAUGUCUGCGAGUGUUUGGGUGCAAAACCCGAGCGCGUAAUGAAAGUGAUAGUUGGGAACCUCUUUAGAGGGGCACCGACGCCCGGACCAGACCUUCUGUGACGGAUCCGAGGUAGAGCAUAUAUGUUGGGACCCGAAAGAUGGUGAACUAUGCCUGCAUAGGGUGAAGCCAGAGGAAACUCUGGUGGAGGCUCGUAACGAUUCUGACGUGCAAAUCGAUCGUCAAAUGUGGGUAUAGGGGCGAAAGACUAAUCGAACCAUC